GGUUAAGCGACUAAGCGUACACGGUGGAUGCCCUGGCAGUCAGAGGCGAUGAAGGACGUGCUAAUCUGCGAUAAGCGUCGGUGAGGUGAUAUGAACCGUUAUAACCGGCGAUUUCCGAAUGGGGAAACCCAGUGUGUUUCGACACACUAUCAUUAACUGAAUCCAUAGGUUAAUGAGGCGAACCGGGGGAACUGAAACAUCUAAGUACCCCGAGGAAAAGAAAUCAACCGAGAUUCCCCCAGUAGCGGCGAGCGAACGGGGAGGAGCCCAGAGCCUGAAUCAGUGUGUGUGUUAGUGGAAGCGUCUGGAAAGGCGCGCGAUACAGGGUGACAGCCCCGUACACAAAAAUGCACAUAUUGUGAGCUCGAUGAGUAGGGCGGGACACGUGGUAUCCUGUCUGAAUAUGGGGGGACCAUCCUCCAAGGCUAAAUACUCCUGACUGACCGAUAGUGAACCAGUACCGUGAGGGAAAGGCGAAAAGAACCCCGGCGAGGGGAGUGAAAAAGAACCUGAAACCGUGUACGUACAAGCAGUGGGAGCCUCUUAAUGGGGUGACUGCGUACCUUUUGUAUAAUGGGUCAGCGACUUAUAUUCUGUAGCAAGGUUAACCGAAUAGGGGAGCCGAAGGGAAACCGAGUCUUAACUGGGCGUUAAGUUGCAGGGUAUAGACCCGAAACCCGGUGAUCUAGCCAUGGGCAGGUUGAAGGUUGGGUAACACUAACUGGAGGACCGAACCGACUAAUGUUGAAAAAUUAGCGGAUGACUUGUGGCUGGGGGUGAAAGGCCAAUCAAACCGGGAGAUAGCUGGUUCUCCCCGAAAGCUAUUUAGGUAGCGCCUCGUGAAUUCAUCUCCGGGGGUAGAGCACUGUUUCGGCAAGGGGGUCAUCCCGACUUACCAACCCGAUGCAAACUGCGAAUACCGGAGAAUGUUAUCACGGGAGACACACGGCGGGUGCUAACGUCCGUCGUGAAGAGGGAAACAACCCAGACCGCCAGCUAAGGUCCCAAAGUCAUGGUUAAGUGGGAAACGAUGUGGGAAGGCCCAGACAGCCAGGAUGUUGGCUUAGAAGCAGCCAUCAUUUAAAGAAAGCGUAAUAGCUCACUGGUCGAGUCGGCCUGCGCGGAAGAUGUAACGGGGCUAAACCAUGCACCGAAGCUGCGGCAGCGACACUAUGUGUUGUUGGGUAGGGGAGCGUUCUGUAAGCCUGUGAAGGUGUACUGUGAGGUAUGCUGGAGGUAUCAGAAGUGCGAAUGCUGACAUAAGUAACGAUAAAGCGGGUGAAAAGCCCGCUCGCCGGAAGACCAAGGGUUCCUGUCCAACGUUAAUCGGGGCAGGGUGAGUCGACCCCUAAGGCGAGGCCGAAAGGCGUAGUCGAUGGGAAACAGGUUAAUAUUCCUGUACUUGGUGUUACUGCGAAGGGGGGGACGGAGAAGGCUAUGUUGGCCGGGCGACGGUUGUCCCGGUUUAAGCGUGUAGGCUGGUUUUCCAGGCAAAUCCGGAAAAUCAAGGCUGAGGCGUGAUGACGAGGCACUACGGUGCUGAAGCGACAAAUGCCCUGCUUCCAGGAAAAGCCUCUAAGCAUCAGGUAACAUCAAAUCGUACCCCAAACCGACACAGGUGGUCAGGUAGAGAAUACCAAGGCGCUUGAGAGAACUCGGGUGAAGGAACUAGGCAAAAUGGUGCCGUAACUUCGGGAGAAGGCACGCUGAUAUGUAGGUGAAGCGACUUGCUCGUGGAGCUGAAAUCAGUCGAAGAUACCAGCUGGCUGCAACUGUUUAUUAAAAACACAGCACUGUGCAAACACGAAAGUGGACGUAUACGGUGUGACGCCUGCCCGGUGCCGGAAGGUUAAUUGAUGGGGUUAGCGGUAACGCGAAGCUCUUGAUCGAAGCCCCGGUAAACGGCGGCCGUAACUAUAACGGUCCUAAGGUAGCGAAAUUCCUUGUCGGGUAAGUUCCGACCUGCACGAAUGGCGUAAUGAUGGCCAGGCUGUCUCCACCCGAGACUCAGUGAAAUUGAACUCGCUGUGAAGAUGCAGUGUACCCGCGGCAAGACGGAAAGACCCCGUGAACCUUUACUAUAGCUUGACACUGAACAUUGAGCCUUGAUGUGUAGGAUAGGUGGGAGGCUUUGAAGUGUGGACGCCAGUCUGCAUGGAGCCGACCUUGAAAUACCACCCUUUAAUGUUUGAUGUUCUAACGUGGGCCCCUUACCGGGGUUGCGGACAGUGUCUGGUGGGUAGUUUGACUGGGGCGGUCUCCUCCUAAAGAGUAACGGAGGAGCACGAAGGUUGGCUAAUCCUGGUCGGACAUCAGGAGGUUAGUGCAAUGGCAUAAGCCAGCUUGACUGCGAGCGUGACGGCGCGAGCAGGUGCGAAAGCAGGUCAUAGUGAUCCGGUGGUUCUGAAUGGAAGGGCCAUCGCUCAACGGAUAAAAGGUACUCCGGGGAUAACAGGCUGAUACCGCCCAAGAGUUCAUAUCGACGGCGGUGUUUGGCACCUCGAUGUCGGCUCAUCACAUCCUGGGGCUGAAGUAGGUCCCAAGGGUAUGGCUGUUCGCCAUUUAAAGUGGUACGCGAGCUGGGUUUAGAACGUCGUGAGACAGUUCGGUCCCUAUCUGCCGUGGGCGCUGGAGAACUGAGGGGGGGCUGCUCCUAGUACGAGAGGACCGGAGUGGACGCAUCACUGGUGUUCGGGUUGUCAUGCCAAUGGCACUGCCCGGUAGCUAAAUGCGGAAGAGAUAAGUGCUGAAAGCAUCUAAGCACGAAACUUGCCCCGAGAUGAGUUCUCCCUGACUCCUUGAGAGUCCUGAAGGAACGUUGAAGACGACGACGUUGAUAGGCCGGGUGUGUAAGCGCAGCGAUGCGUUGAGCUAACCGGUACUAAUGAACCGUGAGGCUUAACCUU
rnacentral:rRNA from 1 species